rnacentral:lncRNA from 13 species
UUUCAAUUCUCUGAGUAUUUUCUCUCUUUAUCCAAGCUGGCUGCACUUGUUUUGACUUCUCUCCAUGAUGUCACAGUUACAUAAGGUAUGUCAGUCAAAUGAAGUACAGCAGUUCACUGAAAGGUGUCAGGCUGAGUGGUGCCAUUCUUUGUGGGUUCUGUGGUCGCUGUGUGGAUUAUAAAUCUCUGCUUUUAUGUUCUGCCGUGGUGAGUGAAUAGGAUGCAGACUUCUGGAAGGCUGUACAGAGAAAGGCUCAUUACCUGGUGAGGGUCCUGUGGGAAAGCAAAAGAGUCAUCAUGAAAUAAACAACUGUGCAUCAGAUUGUGUAAAUAUGCUACCUGUUCUCUUUCUCCAAACAGUGAAUCUCUAAAAAUAAAUACAAUAAAUUGUUUU